UCAUUUUCUCUUCCUCUUGUCUCUCUCUCUCGAAGGGUCUCUCUUGGUGAUUUCACAAGGAGUUUUUCUCUUGUAUUAAAUCUGAAAUUGUGACCGGUGUUGAUGGGGUAUCAACUGUAGUAUUUUGGCUGUUUUGUGGUCUAUGGUCCGGUGGUAUUUUGGCCCGAAAAUUGGUCCGUUUUUCAGCGAGUAAUAGCCGAUGUUUGGCGUUGUAUUUGAGCAAUUUUUUGCCUUGUUUCGGUAGAUAUUAAACUGUGAAGUCAGAUACUAUUUUUGGUCCAGGUCAGGUUUCGAUUUGGUGGAGUAUUGUGAGAUCCUUUUGUUGGAUUGAUGAUCUGAUUGUGUGUGAGUUGAGAUCCGAACCUUGUAAACAAACGGUUGCUCUUUCUUGUGAGGUUCUUGCAUAGUGACGGGCUUGGAACUUUUGCCUCUGAGCUCCCCAGAUUAGGCUUGACCGAACUGGAAACCAAGUGCUAUCAUCUUUCUACUACAUCAACACCUCCCUUCAGUCAGGAAGAAGGUCUCUUGUCACACGCCAUACCUAUAUUAUCCAAACGUCCAAGGUUUCUUCUGUCUCCACGAGCAACUAAGGAUGAUGUGUGCACUUGCUGGUUUGUAUGCUGAUGUCCCAUUUUUGUGUGAUACGGCAUAUAUUCAGAUUACGUACCAUUGCUGAGGAAGGUUUAUACGUUGUAGAGAAGUGAGAGACAGAAAAGGGUGUUUCAGUUGGCCAAUAGCAAAUCCAAGUUUUCAAUCAAAAUGUCUACGUAAUAUUGUAGUCAUCGGUCUAAUCGAGUUAUGGAGACAAUUGAAAUGGCGUUUCCUCCUAGAAACUUCUGUCGACAAUUCAAGCCACUGGGUUUGAUGUACAUGUCAUUACAAGCUACCAAAAUGCUCUGAAACCGAAGUACCUGACUUUUAGUUAUGGUGACAAUUUAGACAAUUCAAAUAUUGUUUCCAUGUACUGGGAAUCUUCAUCUCUA